GACGAACGCUGGCGGCGUGCUUAACACAUGCAAGUCGAACGGAAAGGCCCUGCUUUUGUGGGGUGCUCGAGUGGCGAACGGGUGAGUAACACGUGAGUAACCUGCCCUUGACUUUGGGAUAACUUCAGGAAACUGGGGCUCAUAUCGGAUAGGAGCUCCUGCUGCAUGGUGGGGGUUGGUAAGUUUCGGCGGUUGGGGAUGGACUCGCGGCUUAUCAGCUUGUUGGUGGGGUAGUGGCUUACCAAGGCUUUGACGGGUAGCCGGCCUGAGAGGGUGACCGGCCACAUUGGGACUAAGAUACGGCCCAGACUCCUACGGGAGGCAGCAGUGGGGAAUAUUGCACAAUGGGCGGAAGCCUGAUGCAGCAACGCCGCGUGCGGGAUGACGGCCUUCGGGUUGUAAACCGCUUUCGCCUGUGACGAAGCGUGAGUGACGGUAAUGGGUAAAGAAGCACCGGCUAACUACGUG
rnacentral:rRNA from 1 species